UGGGGAAUAUUGGACAAUGGGGGAAACCCUGAUCCAGCGAUGCCGUGUGUGUGAAGAAGGCCUGCGGGUUGUAAAGCACUUUUAAUGAAAAGGAAGAACUGUUGGCUAAUAUUCAACAGUUUUGACGUUAUUCAUAGAAUAAGCACCGGCUAACUCUGUGCCAGCAGCCGCGGUAAUACAGAGGGUGCAAGCGUUAAUCGGAAUUAUUGGGCGUAAAGCGCGUGUAGGUGGUUUAGUAAGUCGGAUGUAAAAUCCCCGGGCUUAACCUGGGAAGAUCGUUCGAUACUGUUAGUCUAGAGUUGGGUAGAGGGUCGCGGAAUUUCCGGUGUAGCGGUGAAAUGCGUAGAUAUCGGAAAGAACACCAGUGGCGAAGGCGGCGACCUGGGCCCUAACUGACACUGAGACGCGAAAGCGUGGGGAGCAAACAG
rnacentral:rRNA from 1 species